UAAAACAUUUAAAUGUAUACGUAAUAUGCAAAAAAACUUGUACCAUAAUAUGACAUAUAUAUUGUUGACAAAGCAUCACUAUCAACUGAACUGCAUUCAGAAUCAUUUUUUCGUUAGCAAUGGUUUAUCGUUGCUUACAGAUAUACAUUAAAUUACCUAUAACAGUAACUGUACCCAUCUCCAUUAUCCUAGGACGUCUUUUUUAAUAUAGAUUAUAUAAAUUGUUUGAUUUUUUUUUCCAAUCUAAUUAAUAGAAUACAUAGGUAACUUUAUGUGCAUAAUAAUCAAAUAAAUUUCUGUUCUGUUCGUAACACAUAUUAUUUAAAGUUUUAUUUGUUAUUAAUAUUAUUGUUCCCAUAUAAUAACUUCUGAACAAAUGACAUACAUAAAAUUUGGAUACUUAGCAUAAUAUUGUCACAUUAAAAAAUAAUAUGUUAAAAGAAAAAAAUUGUUUUAUUAUGUUGCUAUACGAUUUGUAUUGCUAUAUUUCGUAACCCCUUCCCCUCGACAUUUUAUUUUGUGUGACUACCUGAUUAUUUAUUAUUCAGCCGUUUGGUUUUUCAACUAUUGCAAAUUAAAAAAAUCGAAAUUGAGUUUUUAAAUACAAUAUCUACUGCUUCAAUGAGAACUAUCGAGUUAUUUAAAUUCAUUUUUGCAAUGUAUUCGCAAGGAAAAUAAUCAUUCAUGAUAUUAUUUUGAUAUUAUGAAUUUUAUUGUUUGUUUGCCCAACUCUGAAUUCGUUGGUAAACUUGGUAAAACCUAUAGGCAAAUAAUUUAUAAUACCUAAUAAAUAGUAAUUAUCCAUAUAUUAAUUUACUAUUUUUCAAUAAUUAAAGACUUUCUACGGUUCACAGUGUGGCCGAUGACAUCUAAAGCUGACAAAAAUAGCACUUCUCAAAUCAAACUAUCUUAUCUUUUUAUUAUCAUACGUAAUCAGUAGAAGAGUUUAUUCCAUAGAAAAGGGUAUACAGACACACAGGCGCCAUCUAUCAGGGAAAUCUUUUAAUGUCCAUUCAUUUAUUUGUAACGUUUUCGAGUUUUAUUAGAAUUUCUUUUGAAUCUUGUACACCUAAAAAUU